CCUGAUAUGUCAAACGCCCUAAAGUCCCUAAAUCCGUAGGUUAAAAAUUUAAAACACCAAUGGAUGAUUUUAAAAAAUAGAAUAAUUAUGAACAAUAUUAAGAAAUCUUGUUUAUUUUCAAGGAAAAAUAUUAUACAUACAAAUACGCAGAGGUUUAUAAAAUCGCAGACUCCUGCUGAAUAUUGUCUUAAUCAAAUAAAGCAAUACGACUAUGAAAAUUUUAUUUGUACAAUUCUGUUAAAAACUGUUCCUCGUUCGGUUGCUAUAGCGGUACGUAGUUUUAAUGUUGAAAUAUCUAGGAUUGUUGAACAAAUGUCUCAAGAAACAAUUGGUUUAAUGAAGUUAACAUUUUGGGAAGAAACUAUAGAUAAAUGUUAUUUAAAAAAUAUUAAAGAUGUUCCAAAACAUCCUGUUGCCAUUGAAUUAUUUAAGGUGUUUUAGGCAAUAACGAAAGCUGAUUUAAAUAAAAGGUACUUAAAGAAUUUGGUGACAGCAAGAAAAGACAAUAUAAAUACACAUAGCUUUAAAAGCUUAGUAGAUAUCGAAAAGUAUGCAGACCAAACAGUGUCAAGUGCAUUGUACUUAAUUUUAGAAGGUUGUAAUGUAAGAGAUGUUAAUGCUGAUCAUG
rnacentral:misc_RNA from 1 species